rnacentral:rRNA from 1 species
CCUACGGGAGGCAGCAGUGGGGAAUAUUGCACAAUGGGCGCAAGCCUGAUGCAGCAACGCCGCGUGAGGGACGACGGCCUUCGGGUUGUAAACCUCUUUUAGUAGGGAAGAAGCGAAAGUGACGGUACCUGCAGAAAAAGCACCGGCUAACUACGUGCCAGCAGCCGCGGUAAUACGUAGGGUGCAAGCGUUGUCCGGAAUUAUUGGGCGUAAAGAGCUCGUAGGCGGUUUGUCGCGUCUGCUGUGAAAACCCGAGGCUCAACCUCGGGCCUGCAGUGGGUACGGGCAGACUAGAGUGCGGUAGGGGAGAUUGGAAUUCCUGGUGUAGCGGUGGAAUGCGCAGAUAUCAGGAGGAACACCAAUGGCGAAGGCAGAUCUCUGGGCCGUAACUGACGCUGAGGAGCGAAAGCAUGGGGAGCGAACAGGAUUAGAUACCCUGGUAGUCCAUGCCGUAAACGUUGGGAACUAGAUGUGGGGACCAUUCCACGGUCUCCGUGUCGCAGCUAACGCAUUAAGUUCCCCGCCUGGGGAGUCGGCCGCAAGGCUAAAACUCAAAUGAAUUGACGGCUGAGACGNGCGACGACGACGACGAGGGAGAGG